rnacentral:tRNA from 1 species
UGGCUGAGCGGUAAAGCGCUUGGCUUCCGAACAGGGGAACGAGGUUCGAAUCCUGG